rnacentral:pre_miRNA from 1 species
AGGGGAUCACUGGAUCCUGGGCUGUGUCCCCUGAUGCCCUGGGCUCUGGGGACUGCACCCCUGGAAUCGCGCUCCCGGGGCCAUGCAGCCUCCU